rnacentral:rRNA from 1 species
UCCGUAGGCGGGUAAUUAAGUCAGAGGUGAAAUCCCACAGCUUAACUGUGGAACUGCCUUAGAUACUGGUUAUCUUGAGUUUUAGUGAAGUAGAUAGAACGUGUAGUGUAGCGGUGAAAUGCAUAGAUAUUACACAGAAUACCGAUUGCGAAGGCAGUCUACUAACUAACAACUGACGCUAAUGGACGAAAGCGUGGGGAGCGAACAGGAUUAGAUACCCUGGUAGUCC